UACGAAGGGGCUAGCGUUGCUCGGAAUAUCUGGGCGUAAAGCGCACGUAGGCGGAUUGUUAAGUCGGGGGUGAAAUCCUGGAGCUCAACUCCAGAACUGCCUUCGAUACUGGCGAUCUCGAGUUCGGGAGAGGUGAGUGGAACUGCGAGUGUAGAGGUGAAAUUCGUAGAUAUUCGCAAGAACACCAGUGGCGAAGGCGGCUCACUGGCCCGAUACUGACGCUGAGGUGCGAAAGCGUGGGGAGCAAACAGG
rnacentral:rRNA from 1 species